UUUCCUAUAUAAGGUUUAGGCUUCCUUGCUAUGAACAUUCUGCAUUGUUCUCUCCAUCAACACCUCCAGAUGAAGCAAACAUCUAACAUAUGGUUGGGGGAAUUUCGGAGCAUUCUACUUAAACAGCAACUACAACAGCCCAUUGAUCUGGAAGUGAAAGAAAAAGGAGAACAGCAGGAGAUGAAAAAUCAGGUGAGGAGAGACUGUGGGGGCAGACCUGGAGGAUGUAGUUCUUUCAGAGGCCCACCACCCACCAAGCCUAGCUUCCCUCCUAAAAAAGAAGCAAGUUAACGUGACAACAGACGCUGGCGUCUUUUAUGGAAACUUGUAUGCUACAUGACAAACUGCUGUGCUUAUCUCAUUAUUAUGAAACAAAUAUUUGAAAUCAGUUAUUAGUUGUUUUUCUGCAUUGUUCUCUGUUCCUGAAUUCAAUCAAUCAAUAAAGUAUGUCUCAGACUUUAAACA
rnacentral:lncRNA from 1 species